AUAGAACUCAAACAGGUCUAUAACCAAAGUUUCAACAGAAUGAGUGUGAUUUUGAGAAUCCGGAAAACCAAAAUGAUUGGACUAAAUCAAAAAUCCGAUUCAGACCCCAAAUGUCCAUGCAUACUCGUGACUUGCAUUAUUUUCCUAGUAUUUAUUAAUAUAGUACAGAAUUUAAUUUGAUUGCCAAAGUCUAUACAUACACAGAGACUUUACUUAUACGCAAAGGAGGCAAACCGUCCACCGUCUCCGGCGAAGACAAAACCACCAGCAUGCCCCCUUCCUCCGACGCAUCUUGCCUCCACCCCUGCAAGCAUUCCCCGUCAGCGACUCUCGACCUCCUAAUCCUAAUCCUCGUCCUCUUCUCCGGCGCAUUCCUCGUCUCCUCCUACUUCUCCUACCUAAUCCACUCUUUAUACCUCCUCUCCUCUCAUUUCCCAUCCAUCCCUCUCUUCUCCGAUCACGACGGAAUCUCUCUGGCGUCGUUCUUGUUCUUGUUCGCGGUCUUCUUCGCGGCCUCCGUCGCGUUCCUCGACCUGUGCUGCGGCUCGAGAUCGAGGAGGAAGUGCCGUAACCCGAAGUGCAAAGGGCUGAAAAAAGCUGUGGAGUUUGAUCUGCAGCUUCAGACGGAGGAGAGUGUUGUCGAGUCGGGAUCGUCGAGGGGGAAGGAGAUUGAUCAGUUGCCGUGGAAAGGAGGGAGCGAGAGUAAUCCUCAUUACGAGUGUUUGAGAGCUGAGCUGAGGAAGAUGGCUCCGGUUAACGGCCGAGCUGUUUUGCUUUUCCGGUUGAGGUGUGGUUGCCCUGUUGCUAAGCUCGAAGGGCGAGGGCCCAAGCGAAGCAGACGUCAUAAAAAGUAAGUCAAAACUUAGAAAGAGUUUUGUAACGUGUAAUAAAUUUUAUUGGUUGCAACAUUUUUUUGGUGCCACUGAUCAGUUCAAGACCAGCAAUUACUAGUGAACGUGUCUGUUUAGAUAAUUCUGUAGGCAUUGGCAUAACCACUUCUUAUCUCGAUGAUUGAUAGUUUUUAGUGAACAUGCCUCUUUUGACUAGUGAAUUUUUGUGGUUAUGGUUUUCACCGUUAUGAUUUAAUUUUAUGAUUAGAUUGAAUCUUCCACUUGGGAAUUGAAAGGGAAACAAGUGAACAUGGUUCAAGUGGUUUGAUGUAAUGUCUUGUCUGGUGGCCCUAUUGUAUAAUCGUAACGUUAUUUGUUGAAAAUUAGUUAACGCACAUGCAGCCUUUUAACAUGGAACAUGUGCAUACGAGUUGUGAUUCUAAAAUCUCCCUAGUUUCAUUUUUGUGAAGUAGUUGUGUAAAGUUCACCAUCUUCAGUUUGUGAGAGUUAUGUACUAUAUAGCUCAACUAGAUGAUGAGAUGCCAGAAAAGGAUUAGAUUUAGAGUAUGGAGCAAUGGCUUUGCUGAUUCUGCUUUGCUUAUAGCUUCAGUAUUCCCGAUUCGAUGUGAUUAAUAUUGCCGGCAAAAUUAGCUGUAAAGGGAUGUGUAGACAAUCGCUGACGUGGAAAAUCUCCAAACUAUACUUACAGAUUAUCACAUUAAAAUGUUGCAGAUAUACAAUUUGCAGGUUCUUCUCUCAGAUUAGGAUUAUGAGGAAAACAUAAAAGUAUUGAAACUUUUCCAUUUCCUAUAGAGUUAAUCCCUGAAACUGUUAAAUGCCUUUCUUACUCUUGAACACUUCCUCUGUGUAACUUAUAUGUAAGUUUGUAACUAUGAAAAAUUCAACGUGAAUCAUCAUAAAAAAAAAAUCAAAUACAUUAAGUAAUGUUUUAUUUUC